CGGCGUGGAGGUGCCUGCUGAUUGGUGUCUUACCAGACAAAGUUAGAUCUGACUAUUUUCGUCUAAUACUGUCUGGUAAUGCCGUCAAUCACAGCGGCAAGAUCUUCGUCUG